CCCCUUCCCCUCCCCCUCCCCUCCCCUCCCCGGGACAGCGACCGCCGCCUCACACACCCCCACCCCGCGCGCUGCCUCCUGGCACGGCUCCCCUCACCGACCCCGCUCCAAGUCACCCCUGUCCCCUCCCCCUGCUGUGGCUGUUUCCCCCCCUACCCCGACGCCCUUAGGGUCCCGGGCCCCCGUCCCAGGGCUGGGAGCGGAGAGGCAGCGGUCUCCGCUCUCUGCCCCGCGCGACAGGAUGCCGAGCCACAUGGACCUGCCGUCCGACCCGGUCCGUGGCAACUCGUUCGUAACCAGCUGGAGAAACGGGGUAAAACAUCAGCCUGCCUUUGAGAAGCCUUCAGCGGUCCAACAUUAAGCGCUCGAUUAAAAGCUGUGAUCCUGUGUGACCUGGAGGCUUUUCCUCGGCCCCAGUAUAGUUUUCCAAGUCCAGCAACCGUUCCAGGAAGAUGAAGGAAGCGGAGCAGGCACUUACAAUGAUGCACGCAAAUGUUUCACGGCAAUGCAGCUCCCAUGAGAUCAGACCUAACCAGGUAGCCGGAAGCCGAACAGCCUGUAUAAAGUCUCAUCAGCCUUGGGAAAACAGAGACAUGGGGCUCUCCAGAACAGCAGCUCCCCAAUGAAGUCUACAGCCAUCUCCAGUGCCUCGGUGCUUGCUGAUAACUUCUACCAAGCAACAGCUGGGAGAAAUGCUCAAAACCCUUCUCUUCACUUCCCUCACCUGGAAACCUGGGCAGCAGUGAAAGCAGCCAGAAUUGCAUAGCAGGCCAUAAGAACAGCUGACAUGUCCAAGCAGGUAGCUUGUUUUCCCAGUCCGCAUCUCAAUUCUCACAACACGCCACUCAGUGAGAAGCCUAUGUUUUGGCCCUAUCAGUGGGUGGCCUCUCUCUAACAGAGCCACCCAAGGCCUUCAGGAGAGGAGAAAAAACGUAAAGCAACAGAGGUCAGAAAGGAAAAGAAAAAACAGAUGGCACAGCUGAGCACAGGGAGCACUCGCCCACCAUGGGCUUGCAAGCAGGGGUCCAUCAUUACAAGGCCUAGGAACAGUGCCCUGGGAGGAACCGCUGAACCUUCCUGUUCAGGGAAGCUCCGCUUACGAAGCGUCAUCUAGGAUGCUCACGUUAGCUUUGCCCGUGCAAAAAAUGUACGUGUCAUUGUCAGUCGGGAUCGGGGUGCUGGCAGCUAAACCAUCCAUAGACAUGGUUGGUUGCAAGCAUAGAUAAAGCCAAAUCCUGCUGAGCAUAGUUUUGGAACCCUCCAUGUUCAGUUGCACCUGUUCUUGUUACCCACUGUCAAGAAAAGGUACUUCUAGCACAGAGAAGUUAGGGCUUUACCCCAGAACUCUGCAUGCUCCCUCUAAUCUGGUCCUUCGGCCUUUGAUUAAUUGUUAUCUGGUCUGUUUUCCACAGCCCUAUCGCACAAAAGCCCUUUUUUGGGGGUGGGGACGAGAAGUCUUUGAGAAAUCAGCUUUAGGUAUUAAUGAGAGAUUUGCAUAGAAUGUGACUAAAUGCUUAUUCUUAGCCCAUUUACCAACCACACUUGUCAGUCAACUGCAGGCUUCUGAUAGACUUCCAAAAUAUCUCCAGGAAACAAAGGCAAUGGGGCAAGGUUAACAUUCUGCAAGACUCUGAAAUGCAAGGAGAAGAGAGAGAGCAAAGAGCAUGAGUCAGGGCUGUAAUGUGUGCAUGCAUGCUGCCAUAAAGCACUUCAGCCUAUUGAAUUUGUGGCUCUCAAUCAAUUGGUGAGAUGGCAUUUUGCUGCUUCAUUGCAGAGCUGCUGUUUUUAGCAUGUUUCAGCCAUCCUGCUGUCCUUGUCUUCUUCUUAUUCUGUUCUUGCUUUCAAGAUUAUCAUCAGAAGUGCUGCAGGAGCCACCCAAAGGCAGCUGAAAGAUUUUGUUACUCUCUUUAUUCCCUCACUUCUUGAGAAGUUUCAGCUGCCAUAGUCCUAACCGUGAUUUCAUUGCAGUCCUCUGAAAUGUUGCAACUGCUCUCUAGGAGUUGGAUCAGACCCCACCUCCUCAAAAUCCUGGUCAACAGAGCACAUUAAAAGAAACUGCCAGAACCAAGCUAAGCAGGUGAAAGAUCAGGGGUGAAGUGUUUUGCAAAUCCAGUCUUGCAUACAAAAGAAAGUGUCCUUUGGCAUGUGAUUUCAUGCGAGUUGCAACUUUUCUAUUGGUCUGACACACAAAGUUAUGCGGUCAUUUCACCAUUUCUCCCUCUAGCUAAGCAACAGGGGUGUACAACUGUGCUCCACAAAGACGCAGUGCAGUUGUUCAACCUAAGUCAUCUAGCCAGUGGGGCCAAUUUUUUUUGGCAGACAAGUCACAAGUCCUGCACCCUCCUCAAGUGCCACUCUAAUCCCCUUUUCCUGCCCUGCUGCUUUGCUUUCUGCUCUACCAUGUACCACCCAAAAGAUGGCCACAAGUGGCAUGAAUCACUGGCCGAGGACCCUUUCCAAUGGUUGCAGAUGGGAAGGGCAAGUUUGUUUCCAUGCUUCCAGAUCUUGGGAUCUAUGAGCCAUUUUAUACAGGUUCCUGGGCUGCUCUCUCCCAACACCUUGCUAGCAAGGCACAGCCCUGCCAUAGCACAGAUCUCAGGCUUACUAUUGACUCUAACACUGGAAUUGUAGGGGGAUAAAUGUCUGUCCCAGCUCUCGCCCUAUUCUCACUAUGCAUGAAGCCCCAGACUUUGGAGGGCAGAGAGCCUGCUGCCCUGGAGAAUGAUAACCCAUGCACUUACAGGGGAGGUUUCUCUGCAAAUAGGUCUGGAAGGUACAAUCCAGGCCUAUCCGAACUAGGGGUGCACUGAUGUUUUCUUGGCCGAUACUGAUAGCCAAUUAUUCACCUGGCGUAUUGGCUGAUACCAAUCUGAUAACUGAUGUACAGAAAUGUAUCCAGGCAGCACAGAGAGCAGCUCCCUCCAGGUAA